rnacentral:lncRNA from 1 species
CCACCCACAGAACUUGGCACUUUGACAUUGAGGCGGCACAAAUAAAAACCCAGAUCACAGGAAACAGGUGACUACAUUUUAAUAAAUCAAAGUCUGGAAUCCUAAGCUUGAAACAAUUCCUUAGAACACUCCAGGAAAAACAGUCAUCUGAGUGCAGAUUCACUUGUCCCCACAGAUACGAGACAGUUGAAGGCUGCAUGAAUUAAUGGGACCUUUUCAAAUGGAACUCCACGUUGCUACAAAUUGUUUGGUUCUGAUCUGCCGUCACAAUACCCUGAAAUAGAGAAAACAGUCAUUGAUGACAGGAAGACAGACCCAGUGGUAAAUAUGAAAUGCAUCUCACUGGCAGGCGGGCCCAAAUGCAUGGCACACCGACCUCUCCGGGAGAGCUGGGGCACCCUACUCCCACCCACCCACUCACCAUUGUGAACAAUCAGCCUGUACUGCCUGGCCAAGCACAGGUGCCAUCGAGGUUCAGGAGGCGGCAGGAAUACUGCACGGCAUAUUCAAAAGCCGGACUCGGCCCUUGGCCGUGGCGCUCAUCCGGCCAUUCUCAUCCACCGAGAACUCAGCGACGAUGUUGUCCUGCAGAAAGAGGCCCUCGGGGUCCUUCUUGGCCAUGGCGUACCAGGUCCCGGCGAACUGCGAGGGAGGUGAGCGAGGGAGAGUUAGAGCCCCUCUGAUCCAUCAAAGUCAGAAGAUGCAGCUUCUAACUGAAUGAGAGUUCAUGGUAUGGCAAAGAAAUAGGCACCUUCCUGUGACUCUUUGGACAUCUACCUGCCUGGGUCUCUGCUUCCACUUGACACCUUUCCCUGCUUCCAGGUUGUGCCUUCAGGGUGUCUGGAGUGCCAAUGAUGAUGCAUUUAACUCCUUACUGCCCCAGAGCUAGGAAAGCCCUGUUUCUGGCCAACCAGCUAACUGGUUAGG